rfam:Peniophora sp. CONT PENSPscaffold_44_Cont84, whole genome shotgun sequence.
GGUGAGAUGGCCGAGCGGUCUAAGGCGCCAGACUAAGGAGCUUUCCUGCUAUCUGGUCCGAAAGGGCGUGGGUUCGAAUCCCACUCUCAUCA